UUAAACCUCCCCGGAUUCUCACCCUCACCUGCUCUCCACUUCGCGAGGAGAUGGAGGCCCAAGGUGCUGAGGAGCCACCCCGUGAAAACAUCUGGUUCCCCCAGGGCCGUUGCUCUGCCCAGCACUCCAGUGUCCCUCCUCCCAGAGCUUUCCAGAGAGUCAGUGCAGGCUCUCUCCUCCCUUACUCUCUGCUUAGUAUUUUUUCUCAAAGCAAAUUUAUUUUUUUAAAUCAAAAAUAGUUUUGUUUCUGUGGUACUGGGAGCUGAACCCCGGGCUUUCACACUGAGCUACAUCCCCAGCCCUUUUUUUAUUGUCUUAGCCGCUCAGGCUGAGCUUGAACUUGACAUCCUCCCGCCUCAGGCUCCCAGAGUGCUGGGAUUGCCGGCGGCGUGUGUCACCGCCACAACCAGCCUCGAGAGUGGUUUUUGAAGGCUGCCGCACCACGCGCUAUCCUGGCUGUAACAGCAAGGAGGAAGAGGGCACUUCAUCCUACGUUCAAGCAGAUACUGGCGCCAGGGUUCUGGGUGAAUGCAGAUGGGCCCCUCCUCUGCCCCUCAAGAAUGGCUCUCUGUCCUGGGGAGUCACUGGCUGGGGCUGGGGAUGAACCCAGGUGAGUCACCUGCAAAGGUAAACACUAACUGGCUCCCUGUUUCCUAAGCACCUACUUGGUGCCAGGUGCCGCGUGGCAUCUGACAGGCUUUGAGGUUAGUCCUGUUUAUGAACCCUGUUUCACAAAGGUUCAGGGAAGCAAUGGGGCUAGGCCAGGGGUGCACAGAAGUCAGGGGGAUCUGAACAAGUCCCCUGCCACCUUCCAAUCACCUCUGAUCACGUCUCCUCAGGAGAUGCCAGGGGCUUGUCUCUGGGGUGACCGGGAGGCCGAGAACUUCCUCUGGUUCUGACAGAGCUUUCCAGAAUCCGACAGCUCCUUGAGUGUCCUGCACAGGUUGCUUUAGGCAAAUCAGUGUAGGAAGAGAUAUCUUCCCUACAAAGCCGCUGGGGCAAGGCGCAUGGCAGGGGCUGGAAAGGCAGCACCAUUUUCUGCAGCUUUGGCUGCAACCAGCCCCAAGGCCUGGUAGGUAGAAGUUUCUGGAAAAGGCCUCAUGGAGCAGGAAGCGGAUGGCCUCUGAGCAGAGCAGGUGCGGAGGCCCAUGUUGUGGUCAUCUGCACCUCGACCUCAGGCAGGUGUUGUGAGUGCAGCCCAGGGCUGGAUGUGAAGCCAGGGAGGGGCUGCGUUCCAGGCUCCUCACUGUGGGUCUCCAGGAAGUGGAGCCCAAGGGCCAGGCAGAACGGGAGGUGGGAACUGGCUCUGACUCCUUAUCCCUGCCAUUCUGUGUCCGUAUCCCAGCCCACGGGGACCUGAUGCUGACAGCCUUUAACUCAACCCCCUGGCCCCAGUUGUCAUAGAGGGACACUCGGGAUGCAAGACUCCCAAGUCUCCCCGUGCUGUCAAGGAGAGGAGGAGCGCCCCCCCCCCCCCCUGAACUGAGUCAGGGCAUGAGGACACAGCUACCCAGACGGGAGGCUCCCGCAGCUCGGCCUCACUUCCUGCCACCAGAGGGCUGUUUCAAAGCGAGGUGUGUCAGGAAACCCACUGGCCCCCAGCACAGCGAGAGCCUCACUCUAGUUGCCUGCCCUGCCCAUCACGAACGCCACCCCCUGGGCCUCGGUUACCUCCUCCCGUCAUCGGAGCAGCCCAGGGUGGGAACUGCUCUUACCCUCUCCCCUCCAGGGAGGAACUCAAACGGAGAGAUUGAGCUACCACAAGAUGGGCCUGAUCCAGUGUGAUGUUCAGACCUCAGCAGCCACAUUCAAAACAUGCUUUUGUUUUAAACACGUUGACGUCUUUUAAGUUUGAAAUUUUAGAGAGCAUGUCUGUAUUUUCCCCCUAAAAAGCAAUGAGCACGUCUGUGUCCCCUGCCAGCCCCAUUCCCCUGACGACGACGACGUCCCAACUCCACAAGUGACAUGCAGCCACUCAGUGCGAGUCCAAGCUAAUACAAAUAUCUAUUCUCACACACUCCCUCUUUUAAUGAAAAGAGGUAUACACUACAUCCUGCGUUGGACCUUCUUCUUCUUACCUAGGUUUAGAGAUAGUUUAGAGAUGUCCCUCACUGUUUUCCACAGCCUUAUACACAGAAUUCCACCGCAGUACGAGGAGCCUGCGGUUUGUUUAACCAGCAUCAUAUAGAUGCGGUGGGGGGUAGACUGCCUUCAGUCUUUCACUUUUACCAACAAUGUCCCAAAGAGUAACCUUGUACGUAAACAAGGUCUCCCGAGCUCCAGUUUAUCCGUGGGAUUACAGCUGGGCAGCAGACCAGCUGGGACAGAGUUUCUGCGUUUGUCAUUUGUGGUGAUUUCGCCGAAAAGGACCAGGUUCCAACACAGCCCUUCCCAGAGCCCAGAGCCCAAAGCCCUGGGGGGCGGUGGGUGGAGCAGACCUGGCCACAGCCCCGCCUCCAAGGGCGGGGUCAGAGGGGGUGGGGCCUGGAUUAGCAGUUGCUGGAGGUAGAAAGCUCCUCUCUUCUCCCUCUCUCCCGCUACACCUGGCUGACACUCCUCUCUUUAGCUACCUCCUCCUGCUUCCUUGGAGCCUUUCUGUGAUCCUCAGCUGCCAUUGCAUUAAGCACACCAUGCAAAAUGUGCAGCCUAAGGAAGGGCAGGGAAAGCACACCAAGACUUGCUUUAAGGGGACACAGUGGGAAAGCAGAGCAGGGAAGGGAAGCCCAGUGCGCCCUGUGGUCCCCAGGGAUGACCACGUCCGAAGGGAAGGGCCCUCAUCACUGGACUCUCCCCCACAAGCUGAGCCGUUAAAGCAGGACACAGAGAUUCCUGCCCCAGCCCCACACGCGGGCAUUUUCUCAUCAGGAGGACAUUCAUGGCAGCCUGUCGCCUGGGCCAGAGCCCUGUGGAUGGAUUUCACGUGCAUUUUCCUAGUUAAGCCUCCCAGCCACACAUGAGGUCAGUUCUAUUAUUACCCGCGUCCUCCGGAAGAGGACACAGGUGAAGUAACUGCCCAAGCCACGCUCUGCAGAAACUCAGCUGGGAUCAUCAGAGCCACAAACCAUUUGCAGGACAUUGAAGGGGUAGGUAAUGGUGCUAAAAAUAGACUUGGAAAGAAUUCUAGGGACAGCCAAAUGCCCAUUGGGAUUCCCACCUCCUGCUAAAAUAACUUUGGGGGUGGGGAAGGAUCCCUAAGAUUCUAUCCCCGUUCCUCGUUUUUCAUGGACAUGUAUUAUUAUUUGACCAAGUUAAUGCCAGCUAUUGCAGAAGACAUGGAACAUAUGGGGGAGAAAAUGAAAUUAAUCCAUAAACUCACCACCAGAGCAGGUCUCGGGGAACAGUGCAGUGCAUUGGCUGCCAGGCUAAAGUGCAUGUCUCUGUGUUUUAUAACGUGUUAAUUGGACUACAACAGAUGCAGAGAAAACCAAAUGGAUCAUAAACGUGUAGCUCAAUAAAUUUUCAGAGCAAAA